AGCAAAUGCUAUAGCACCUGCUCUGCAUUGACAUGUACAUGCAUGCAUGCCUCUCUGAAUGUCUCGAUGACAUCAUAUAAAUAUACUCAUACACAUACCAGUUUCUUCUUCUUUUAGUUUUGCAUCGAUUUCAUGCAGGAUCUGUGGGGGGAAAUUCCAAAUGAAUAAAAAAACAAACAGAAAACUAUAAUUGUGCUCUUCAACUUUACUAAAAGAAUGUAAAAUGUGGUAAAUACCUCAGGCUGUGGUGCGAUUUUCCUAAACUUUGCCAACUGACUGUCACAGUUUACAGGUGAGGUGUUGGACACUCUCGGUAUAUGUUUAGGUCUAGGGGCGGGUAGUAGUACAGUAUCUGUCUUAUACACCUUAUCAAAACUUUCUCUUAUUUUUUGUUUUGUGGCUUUGUUUUUCUCCUCCGAUUUAAAUACUGAUUCGAUCGUUCUUAAGCAUUUUCUACACAGUCCAGCAUUACACCCCUCGAGUUCAAGUUCGAGUUCCUCCGAUUUUUCAGUAACUUUCUUUAUGUAAUCUAUCCUUUCAGCGUUCAGUCUCAUUUUUGAUUCAUAGAAUUUAUGAACGAUUUCUUUACCGUUAGCAUUCUUUUCAUAUUUUACAAAAGAAAAACCACAAACAAUGCAUGUAUCUCCUAUAACACAAACUUUCCUCGGUUUCAUGGACUGCAACAUUGUUGUGGGUUUUUUUCUUAACACCUCGGGCAUCAACCGACCAGCAAAGUGGAAGGAGGGAUUUGAUUGGUUAGCAGAAAAAGGUGACCUACUUUGAGCGGAUUUUCUAUCUUGUGCGGAUCAAUAUAUAUUCCAAGGAGGGCAUGGGUUCAUAAUUUCACUGCCAUGUGGUCUUGCCGCCUAGAGCAGGGGGAGGGGGGUGUUUAAAAAAUAUGUGUAAACCCUUAGAUUUUUAGUUUCAAUCAUUUAUUUCGUUACAUAAAAGGAUCAUUCACAGUGGCGGAUCCAGGAUUUGUUGAAGGGGGAGUGGGCCAAAGUUCAGGGGUCUGGGGGCAGCCUUGAGGGCUCCAAUGGGUGGCAUGGGGCCAGGUUCGUCCCCCGUAAGCUCCCAUGUUUGCGAGGGGGGGGGGGGGGUGUUGACGUAUUUAAAACACUUUUUUAUGCUAUUCUAUAGUUACACUUGACACAUUGAUAUCAAAUAUGAAUAACAACAAAAACUGAUUUUCUAUAGUUCUUCUAUCUUUUUUUUUUUUAAUUCUAAUCACAAAAAAGGGGGGGGGGGGUGCUCUAAUUUUUUUUAUCCGACAUUAUUUAUAUAUACUGUCAUCAACAUGUACAUCUCUUUGACCAAGCAAAAAAUAGCCGUACAUUCGAUUUUUUUCUAUAUAUAUCAGCUAGAAGUAUUUUAUUUUACCAUUGAAGUUAUCAUAAUGAACUUUUUUUUCUUUUAUAUAUAUGUUAUAUAUAUAUGGUUUUUUGUUCAAGAAAAUAAAAAAAUGUUGUAUACAAUCGAACGUUUGUAAAUGCAAUCACAUAUGCAUGGUUUUCAGUUUUAAAAUGUGUUUUGAAUUAAAUCCUCUCUUGAAAUCUUGUAUUCUCCAGUUUAAAAAAUGACUGGGGAAAUUAAUAUACGGAAAUGAC
rnacentral:sRNA from 1 species